rnacentral:lncRNA from 1 species
CCAUAUUGUUUUAUCUCCUUUAUAAAAAUGUUCACGAUUUGGCUUAGCUUUGGCCCAUUUCUUCACAUGAAGAUGGUAUUUUCCAAGUAAUAUUAUUAGAGGUAUAAGAAUUAUAAGUUGUACCUUUUGAAUCAAUUCCAUCUUGUACUAAAGCAAAUAUGACAUCAUUUAAUCCACUUUGUAUUAGCAUACCAAAUGUCCUUGGUUGUUUAUCACAUUUGUUCUCUUGCAGUUGAACUGGUCAGAUUUUGGGAUGAAGUCUCAGUUCAGAUCAUCAACAAAGUUGUUUUUCUCUCUUCUUUGUGUCAUCAGUGUAAUUUCAGGCUCCCAUAUGUUCAGCUCUGUGUCUUUGAAGAGUGACCAGUCAAUAGAUCCACCAGUGAAUUUCAGUGAGGAACCACCAUUUACCAGAAGUUCUGGAUCAGGUUCAGAUGUGUCUAUGUCUGUGAAGAGUGACUGGUCAAUGGAUAAACCACCAGACAUAAGUGAGAAAACACCAUCCCCUACCAAAAGGUAUUUUGUGUAUUUUUCAUUGUAGUGUUACAUUAGCUAAUGUCUUUUUUGGUAGUUUGACAGAACUUGACUGCAUAAAACAUUGUCUCACAGAAAACAAUGUCUGUGGACUAUACGGAAAUUAGUCAAACAAAUGGAAAGACACCAGGCUACUAAAUACGAAUGCAUUCAUCUUUAGUAAUAAGGAAUUCAAAAUGUUUUAAUAUAAAAUUAGAAAAUUAGAACAGGUUUUAAAGUAUUUACAUUUGUUAUUAAAUGUUGCUGGUUUUGGUAUCCCAAUCCUGCUACUUGAAACAAACACAUUUUGCUUUUUAUUCAAUCCAAUUCACCUUUAUUUUGUAUACCACUUUUACAAUGUAGAUUGUGUCAAAGCAGCUUCACAUAGAAGAUCCUAGUAAAUUGAAACAGUGUAGUUCAGAUUUCAGAGUUUAAGUUCAGUUUAACCCAGAUUAGUGUGGUUUAAUAAUCACUACUGAGAGUCAAACACUGAAGAGCAAAUCCAUCAAUGCGCUGCUUUACAAAUCCCGAACCAUGCAAACCAGUGGUGACAGCGGCGAGGAAAAAACUUCACCAAUUGGCAAAAGUGAAGUAUUAAAAAAAUCUUGAGAGAAACCAGGCUCUGUUGGCCACGACCAUUUUUUAUCUGGCCAAACGUCUUGUGCAGAGCUGCAGUCAAGGCGUCGGAGGCUGGAAGCUGAACCCCAGCAAAGACUAGUCUGUCCCUGGAGCAUCACAGAAGUCUCAUGCUCUCCGCUCCUCCAUGACCACCACAGCUGCUGCUCAGGAUACGGUCUGGUCCAGGAUUAUGGAAACCUUCAUCUUGUCGCUGGUCUUGGAUCGAAUCAGUGGCGGUGCAUACUCUGAGGGCCUCGGUAUGAGUAUCCCCAGGUGGGAAUAGAGAAUAAAGAGAAUAAUUAGCGUAGCUGCUGUUCAUAGUGUAUAUGAACAACAUGCACAAACCUGCGUGGAACACAUUCAUGUAUCAUACAGCUAAGUGAUGCACUGAGUGUAUGCUUUACUAAACAGAUAGGUCUUUAAUGUAGUUUUGAAUUGGGAGAGUGUGUCUGAGCCUCAGAAAUUAUCAGGAAUUCUAUUUCAGAUUUUAGGGGCUAUAAAUGAGAGGGCUUGACCUCCUUCACUCGACUUUGCUAUUCUAGGUACUACCAGAAGCCCUGAGUUUUGAGAUCUUAUAGAGCGGGUUGGAUUGUAGCGAGACAGAAGGUUGGUUAGAUAAACAGAAGCUAGAUUAUUUAAAGCUUUAUAGGUGAGAAGCAAUAUUUUAAAUUCAAUAUGAAACUUAUCAGGCAGCCACUGUAAGGAGGAUAAAAUUGGAGUGAUAUCAUCAUAUUUUCUAGACCUGGUUACUCUGGCUGCUGCAUUUUGUACUUAUUGAAGUUUAUUAAUAGAGGAUGCUGGGCAGCCAGCAAAUAAAGCAUUACAGUAAUCCAGCCUUGUAGUCAUAAUAGCAUGGACUAGCUUUUCUGCAUCAGAGAUGGAUAGCAUACUUCGUAACUUCACGAUAUUUAUCAGAUGAAAGAAGGCAGUUUUUGUCACAUUGGACAUAUGAUUUUCAAAAGUUAAAUUGCUGUCUAAUAUGACACCCAGAUCUUUAUAGUAGAGUUAAUGCUAACUUUGUAUUAUACUUUUAAUCUUGUCAAGUAAAAGGUUAUCUUGUGUAAAAGAGCUAGCAUUAAAUGUAAUUGAAUACAUGACCAGUGCUUGAGCAUGACUUGCAGUCUGUCGGUAUCCACAACUGAUUUUUGUCAAAAGGUGAAGGUGUUCAAAAUUUUUGAAAGUGGCUACUUCAUAAUUCUCCUUGUAGGAAAACCCUGCUUAUAACCACCUUCUGUUUUUGUCUUCACUUGAACCAUUGUCACUUGUCAGUCUAAAACCUUUGUGAUGUACAUGUAGUAACAUGAUAAGUUUAUACUUUAAACAUAAAGUGAGCUAAGAACACCCCUAGUAUAAGUAUAGUAAACAAUAUUUUAACUCACUUUCUUUCAGCUUAGUCCCUGAUUCAUCAGAGGAUGCCACAUCUAAUGCUUUCUGUGUUAAGUAGAAUUUUUUAUAAUGUUUUGACAAGAAAUUCAGUAUUUUAUUUGUUAACAGGAUUCAGUAUGAAGCAUUGGAUUCAGACUUUCUGCCUGACAGGAACCAAAAGAAUUUCAAAGGCAAUCUCCAAGGGAUCUUCCGGGUAGGAAAAAUAACAUUUUAUGUUUAAAAUGUUUAAGGAAAUGUUGUGUGUAUAAUACAUGUUUUGGGACAAAGGUUUUUAUUUCGGUUAUAUUGAAUUCUUUUUCCAUUAGUAUUAAUUUAAUAUAACAAUUAUUUAUUUUGUAAAAAAAAAAAAAAAAAAAAAAAAAGGUUAAGAAAUAUAUCUAUUGCUGUUUUGUUUGUGUUGGCGAGUGGUGGAUUUUAAAUGUGGUUGAAUUUCAGGUGUUGUCUUUCUAACAUUGAUAUUUACAUUUUUCAAAAGUAAUUAAAAAAAUCCAGAUUAGAACUUUGUGGAAUUAAGGAAAAGGGAAAUAAAAUAUUUUUUUGUGGAAAGGUACUUCUGCAAAAGAUGAGGUUUCAACAGUUUCUCAACAGUUUCAACAAACCAUCGUUAUACAAUAACUUGCCUAAUUAUCCUAACCUGCCUAGUUACCCUAAUUAGCCUAGUUAAGCCUUUAAAUGUCACUUUAAGCUGUAUAGAAGUUUCUUGAAAAAUAUUUAGUCAAAUAUUAUUUACUAUCAUCAUGACAAAGAUAAAAUAUUAUUAGAAAUUAGUUAUUAAAACUAUUAUGUUUACAAAGGUGUUGAAAAAAAUCUGCUCUCCGUCAAACAGAAAUGGUGGGGAAAAUAAAAAGGGGGACUAAUAAUUCUGACUUAAACUGUAUUCACAAACAAGUGAAAAUUUGUCGUUUUCGCGUUAUUUUGGGCAAGUUCUUUCUUUCGUUUUGAAAAUAUGUUUUUAAGCUGCAUCAUGGCGAUAUAAUCAAGCAAAUGAUGCUUAAAAAAAAGCGAAAGUCUGCAGCAUAAGGCUUCUCUUGAUGAAUGUCAAAGUUACCCACAAGGAAAUGAGAAUAGCAGCACAUUGAGGUCCACAUCCAUACAUACACAAUAUUGCUGUUGGGUGUGAAGGCCUGGUCUCUACUUCAGUUCAUCCAGACCAUGGGUGCUCAAUCCUGUUUCUGGAGAUCUACCUUCCUGCAGAUUUCAGUUGCUACCCAUAUAAAACACACCUGAACCAAUUAAUUAGGACCUGAACACCACUUGAUAAUUACAGGCAGGUGUGUUUGAUAUGGGUAGCAACUGAAAUCUGCAGGAAGGUAGAUCUCCAGGAACAGGAUUGAGCACCCCUGAUCCAGACAUUUAGUUCUAUCAGGUUAAGGUCAGGAGUCUGUGCAGGCUAGUCAAGAGCAUGAAAUUGUCCAAAGCUGAAGCAUACCAAGACAUAUUACAUGUUUCAUUGGAACUAAGGGUUGGCUGUACCCUUAAUAAACAACCCCACAUCAUAAUCCCUUCUCCAUCAAACACAAUGCAUUCAGGCAAUUACGGUUCUCCUGGCAAAUCCCAAACCCAGACUUGUCCGUGGAAUUGGCAGACAAAAAAGCGGGAUCUCCAGAGAUCACCUCUCCACUGCUCUAGAGUAGUGUUUUUUUUUAUUAUUAAAGCUACAACGCACUUUUAUUAACACUAUUCCAGAGAGCUCCAUUAUCAGCA